rnacentral:rRNA from 1 species
GACGAACGCUGGCGGCGUGCUUAACACAUGCAAGUCGAACGGAAAGGCCCUGCUGGGGUGGCAUGCUCGAGGGGCGAACGGGUGAGUAACACGUGAGUAACCUGCCCUUGACGGUGGGGUAACUGCAGGAAACUGUGGCUAAUACCGGAUAGGAGCUCCUGCUGCGGGGUGGGGGUUGGAAAGUUUGGGCGGGUGGGGAUGGACGCGCGGCUUAUCAGUUGGUGGGUGGGGUGGUGGCUUACCAAGGCUUUGACGGGUAGCCGGCCUGCGAGGGUGACCGGCCACAUUGGCACUGAGAUACGGCCCAGCCUGCUACGGGCGGCAGCAGUGGGGAAUAUUGCACAAUGGGCGGAAGCCUGACGCAGCAACGCCGCGUGCGUGAUGACGGCCUUCGGUUUGUAAACCGCUUUCGCCUGUGACGAAGCGUGAGUGACGGUAAUGGGUAAAGAAGCACCGGCUAACUACGUG